GACGAACGCUGGCGGCGUGCUUAACACAUGCAAGUCGAACGAAGUGGCGAACGGGUGAGUAACGCGUAAUCAACCUGCCCUUCAGAGGGGGACAACAGUUGGAAACGACUGCUAAUACCGCAUACUGAAGGAGGGGAUUGCGUCUGAUUAGCUAGUUGGAGGGGUAACGGCCCACCAAGGCGAUGAUCAGGAGCCGGUCUGAGAGGAGGAACCGCCACAUUGGGACUGGUACACGGCCCAGACUCCGACGGGAGGCAUCAGUGGGGAAGCUUCCGAAAUGGACGAAAGUCUGACGGAGCAACGCGGCGUGAUUGAUGACGGCCUUCGGGUUGUAAAGCUCUGUUAAGCGGGACGCGGGACCGAAAUAGAAAGCCACGGCUAACUACGUGCCAGCCGCCGCGGUAAUAC
rnacentral:rRNA from 1 species